GCUGGCAUAGCACAGUCGGUAGUGCGUCGCAUUGGUAGUGCGGAGGUCACGAGUUCGAUUCUCGUUGCCAGCU
rnacentral:tRNA from 4 species